rnacentral:lncRNA from 1 species
AGAGAGAAGGUUAAGAGCAACAAGAUGGGAGGCAGCUGCAUGGAACCUGUCCCACUGAGGAAGUAAAACAGGAAUCCAAAAUAAAACGUUUGCUGGGAAUUAUAAAGAAUUUCAUUGAGAAAGUAAAAAAGAAAAAUCUAUGCAAAGGAAGUGAUUCUGUUGUUUAAUGCCAUCACCUGUCAUUCUGUCUCUUACCAUGGCUGGCUUGGCUAGUGGCACCACGAACAGAUCCCUACAGACCCCAACACCAAGAAAAAGUUUUACUCUUGUUGCCCAGGCUGGAGCGCAAUGGUGCGAUCUCGGCUCACCGCAAUCUCUGCCUCCUGAGUUCAAGCGAGGAGCAACCCUACCUGAUGGACUGGACUUCUGCCUGGAUUGGAGUUUGAUCAUGCCUCCAUAUGGGUGUUUACCAGGCGUAUGCAUUGAACCUGAGUUUGUCUCUUCAAUACAAGGAAAAUCUCUGCCGCUUAGUGAUUUUCCAAGAAACAUGAGCUUCUGCCUUUCAAUGAGGAAGAUACUCAGAAGUCAUGUUCGAGCACUCCGGAAAAUGUCCUUGGAGUUUCAACAUUUCUUUGGUCUUCCACAUUUCAUUUUGUCCUGAUUAAAGAGGAAGCCAGUUGCUGUUUGUGCAAGAUGCCGUGCUGGAACCUGCCCUGUGGAGAGGCAUACAUGGUGAAAAACCAGGGAAGGCCUCUGAGCAACAGCUCUUGAGAAACUAAAGCCCUAAACCCAUCAACUUGCAAAGAACUGCAUCCUGCCACCAACUGCGUGAGUGAGGUCAGGUGGAUCUUUCCCUGGUCCAGCCUUGAGAUGACUGCAGUCCCAGACAACACCUUGACUGCUGCCUUGUGAUGCAGCUGGCGCCAAGCAGUGCCAAUUCCUGGCCCUCAAAAACCAUGAGAUAAUAGUGCUGUUGUUGUAAGUCACCCAAGUUUGGGGUAAUUUGUUAUCUAGCAGUAGAUAGCCAAUACAUCAAACUAGAAACAUUCUCCAUCAUUGAUUGGAAGACUUUGGGUUUUUAAAAAGGGUAAACACACAUAUACACAGCUUAUUAUAUUUCCUUCCACAUUUAUUUUGGAGGGGAAAUGUUUUACUUCUUAUCCCACCGCUUUGCCCUUUCUAAAAGAAUGUGUUAGGAUUACUGUGAUUCAAAUGGUAAAAAUUUUCCCAGUGAAAUAAAGACUUUAUACCAACUGGAUUUCUUGCUUAGAAAGCUGUGUUUUCUCCACUAAUAUCUUGAAUUUGAUAUUUUCAACUAUCUCUAUUGAAUUCACUUGUAAAUGAAUUGCGUUUUUCCCUCUAUUAUGAACUGAAUGUUUGUAUCUCUUCAAAAUUCAUAUGUUGAGGCUGUAAUUCCCAG